rnacentral:lncRNA from 1 species
CUAAAAGAGGAAGAGGAAAGAAAAAAUCAUAAGAAAGGAAGGAUUGCUUUGAGUUCCCUCUUGCAGCCCUCGUCCACCACCCAAAGCUCCGGAAACACAGAGGAAGCCGAAAGAGUGGCCAAGCAGAAGGGUGAUGAGGAGAAACGCUGCCUGACAGAUCUGAAAUGGCAUUUGCACUCAUGAAAUCACAGGAAUGUGGUUGCCUGCAUAAAAGCAAACUA